CCGCACAUAUUGUCAUUCAUGUAAAUGAAUAAGAUCAUGUGUACAUACACGAAAGAACAACCGAGUCAUGUGCACAGAUGAACGCAUACCAGCACGCAAAUGAUAAUUACAAAGUAGUAAUAAUCAUCAUGGGUGCAUGGAACAAGAGAAACUAAAAAGGGAUGGUGGAAUACAAGGAAUGCAAAAAAGAUGCAUCAUCACUAUCUCGCUAGCCGGAUACUAUGCCACUUAUUCUGGAAAUAGCACAUCGUGGCUCCGGACGGGGUCGAUCUCCUCCUCCUUCGGCUGUCAUAUGUGAGCAUCACAUCAAUUGUCAGUCAUCGGCGGCUUGCCCUUCGGAGGCGGCUCGGGCUUGGGUUCGGGUUCAGGCUUGGGCUCUGGCUUAGGCAUGGGUUGAGGCUUGGGCUCUGGUUUUGGCAUUGGGUAAGGCUUGGGCUCUGGCUUUGGCAUCGGCUCGGGCUUAGGCUCCGGCUUUGGCAUCGGCUCUGGCUUGGGUUCAGGUUUUGGCAUCGGCUCGGGCUUGGGCUCUGGCUUUGGUUCGGGUUUUGGCAUCGGUUUAGGCUCAGGCUUCAUCGGCUCGGGUUUGGGCUCUGGCUUUGGUUCGGGUUUUGGCAUCGGCUCUGGUUUGGGCUCUGGCUUUGGUUCGGGUUUUGGCAUCGGCUCUGGUUUGGGCUCGGCCUUUGGUUCGGGUUUUGGCAUCGGCUCGGGCUUGGGCUCUGGCUUUGGCUCGGGUUUUGGCAUCGGCUCUGGUUUGGGCUCUGGCUUUGGUUCGGGUUUUGGCAUCGGCUCUGGUUUGGGCUCUGGCUUUGGUUCGGGUUUUGGCAUCGGCUCUGGUUUGGGCUCAGGCUUAGGCUCAGGUUUUGGCAUCGGCUCUGGCUUGGGCUCAGGCUUAGGCUCAGGUUUGGGCAUGGGGUAAGGCUUGGGCUCAGGCUUCGGUUCGGGUUUCGGCAUCGGCUCGGGCUUGGGCUCUGGCUUUGGUUCGGGUUUUGGCAUCGGCUCGGGCUUGGGCUCUGGCUUUGGUUCCGGUUUCGGCAUCGGUUUAGGCUCUGGCUUCAUCGGCUCGGGUUUGGGCUCAGGUUUCGGUUCUGGUUUAGGCAUGGGCUCAGGUUUCGGUUCUGGUUUAGGCAUAGGCUCAGGUUUGGGCUCAGGUUUCGGUUCUGGUUUAGGCAUCGGCUCGGGCUUGGGUUCUGGCUUUGGCAUCGGCUCCGGCUUGGGUUCCGGCUUGGGCUCUGGCUUUGGCAUGGGUUCAGGCUUAGGCAUAGGUUUGGGCUCCGGCUUUGGCAUGGGUUCAGGCUUAGGCAUAGGUGUGGGCUCCGGCUUCGGCAUGGGUUCAGGUUUAGGCAUAGGCUUGGGCUCCGGGUACGGCGUGGGCUUGGGCUCUGGCUCGGGGAGCUUCUCGGCGAGGCCCCGGCCAGCAGCGGCCGCGAGGCUGAAGCCGGAGGCCGCGAGCAGCCCGACGAGGAGCACGGCAAGGAGGCUGUGCCUCGCCAUUGCUGCUUUCUCGCAGCUGUUGCUGCACUUGUGCUUCACCGCUUCCGAACCUCUCAACGGGCGAUGGAUAGAUAAAGUGGAUGUGGUGUGUGGUUCCUCUGAAUGGUGGU
rnacentral:lncRNA from 1 species